rnacentral:rRNA from 1 species
UGAACGCUAGCGACAGGCUUAACACAUGCAAGUCGAGGGGUAACAGGGUAGCAAUACCGCUGACCGAGGCCCCCGACGGGUGAGUAACGCGUAUGCAACCUGCCUAUAACUGGGGAAUAGCUCCCUGAAAGGGAAUUAACACCGCAUAACGCUAUUGAUUCGCAUGGAUUGGUAGUUAAAUGUAGCGAUACAGGUUAUAGAUGGGCAUGCGUGACAUUAGCUAGUUGGUGAGGUAACGGCUCACCAAGGCUACGAUGUCUAGGGGUUCUGAGAGGAAGGUCCCCCACACUGGUACUGAGACACGGACCAGACUCCUACGGGAGGCAGCAGUGAGGAAUAUUGGUCAAUGGGCGCAAGCCUGAACCAGCCAUGUCGCGUGCAGGAAGACUGCCCUAUGGGUUGUAAACUGCUUUUAUAGUAGAAGAAACACAUCUACGUGUAGAUGUCUGCCAGUAUACUAUGAAUAAGCAUCGGCUAACUCCGUG